rnacentral:rRNA from 1 species
UACGGAGGUGGCAAGCGUUGUUCGGAAUUACUGGGCGUAAAGGGCGCGUAGGCGGCUUGGCGAGUCAGAUGUGAAAGCCCCGGGCUUAACUCGGGAACUGCAUCUGAAACUGCCUUGCUUGAGUCCAGGAGGGGAUAGUGGAAUUCCCAGUGUAGCGGUGAAAUGCGUAGAUAUUGGGAGGAACACCUGCGGCGAAGGCGGCUAUCUGGACAGUGACUGACGCUGAGGCGCGAAAGCUAGGGGAGCGAAC